rnacentral:rRNA from 1 species
GAGCGCCGUAGCAAUACGGAGCGGCAGACGGGAGAGUAACACGUGGGAACGUGCCCUUUGGUUCGGAACAACCCAGGGAAACUUGGGCUAAUACCGGAUAAGCCCUUACGGGGAAAGAUUUAUCGCCGAAGGAUCGGCCCGCGUCUGAUUAGCUAGUUGGUGGGGUAAGGGCCCACCAAGGCCAUGAUCGGUAGCUGGUAUGAGAGGACGAACAGCCACACUGGGAUUGAGAACGGCCCAGACUCCUACGGGGGGCAGCAGUGAGGAAUUUUCCGCAAUGGACGAAGAGUCUGACGGAGCAACGCCGCGUGCAGGAGGACGCGUUUACGGCGUGUAAAC